UGUUUUACAGUAGUGUGUAGACUGUUUCGUACUGUCGGGGGCCGUUGGGGUUGACGGUGGACCCAAAUUUCUGUAUCAUCGCUGUUAGUGCGAGGUGGAUAUCCAAAUGAGUGCAGGUAGAGUUACGCUCGCACUGAGAAGCAGAGUGAGUUGUUACAGUAGAGUUAGACGGUGUCGGACCGUCAGGUGCCGUCGGGGCUGACGGUAGA
rnacentral:lncRNA from 1 species